rnacentral:rRNA from 1 species
CUCUUUGUCUGGAGGUUACGUCCAUACAGAUGAUAACAAGUAAAAGGAAUGUUGGUAGUUAUAUGAUCAGCGAUUGCAUUAUCCACGCUCAACCUUACUCGGUUUUCGCC